rnacentral:pre_miRNA from 1 species
AAAUUAAGAUGUGAGAGAGACAGGGAACAGGCUGAGCAUGGAUGGAUCUGUCAACAGGUUUCUGUUGUUGCUCCGCCCAUGCACUGCCUCUUCCCUGGCUCUCCCUCCCUCCAAUCUUA